GAAGAAUAAUAUUAGUUAUAUACAUUAAAACCUGUAAUAUACAUAAGUCUGUAUAUAAAUAUACACACAUGAUAUUCCCUUAUUUGGGUAGAAAAUGCUUCCUCUGAGAGCUAAACAGGAACAAACUAAUAAAAACCCCAAGGCUAGGCAUAAAAAGCCCUCUUUUGAGUUGCUGCUCAAGAGAAUACCCAAACAUUACAAUUAUUGCUACUGGUAUUUGGUUGUCCCUCCAGAAGUGAACGGUUAGUACUUAUUGUUGAAGACACUGUGCACUUCAGGCAUCGUGUCCAAAGGACUCUGAACUGGAACUCAACUGAAUACCCUCUUUUUGAGGACUAGAUUUCAUGAUCCCAGAAAGUGUCAUGCAAGCUUCUAAGGGAGGGGAGCAAUCAACAGUCCCAUCUAGCAUGACACUGCAGCACUGACCAGCAUGCCAUAUCUUGAACUUUUGUUUUUCUUUUCUUUGAUAUUCUACCAGGAAAACCUUAAAAAGCUAACCCCAAGGCUUGGAUAACCCCAAGGCUGUAGUAGCAGCACACAGUAGCAGCAGUAACUGAUCCCAAGACGUGUUCAACAAGAGGAAAGCAGAUACUUAAGGCUAAUGCCAAGCUAAUCCUGAGCAAAGCCUAGUAUUAUACUCUACUCAAUCUUUGUGCUAAUCCAAUCAAGAGCUCUGAAAAUGUCUUGGAAUUUUGCCAUGGGGAUCAGGAUGAUCAAAUUAUUGGGUGUGGCAGCAGUCCCAAGAUGGCGCCCAGAACUGUAGCCAAGUUUUAUGACUUUCACCUUCUUCCUCAUACACCUGAAAAUAAGCCACAUCCAUCGUGAGAACUGCACAAGUGCACCAUGAUGCAAGAUUGGACCAUAUGACGAGUGAUGAUUCUGGCCAAUGGACUGCUGUUACAUGGACUGGGCUGAUGGGGCAUGGUUGAGAGGAUAUAUAAGGAAUUGCGAUUGGGGUCGGGUUGGUUGGUGUUGUUUUUUCCUGGA
rnacentral:lncRNA from 1 species